AGAUUUCCAGGUGGUGUUUUGGAAUCUAGAUUGAUUUGGUACUGUAUGUUGUGUGAUGUGCCCUUGCCAAGAAUAUUUGAUGUGUGUGAUGACUGAUGACACAAGCAAUUGUAGAGCUGUGAACACCAUGCUUGAUUAGUGGACUGCCGCUUGAGAAGAAGCUUGUCAUUUGUCUCUUCGAGCCGCGGCGGAUAGGGGCCUUCGAAGAACUUGGGGUUUGACAUAGCCAUCAAGGAAGUGCAGGAUACAAACCAAGUGUAAUCAAAGAGGAUAUGGAUUCAGUACGGCCAUGAGUGAAGGAACGCUACUCCAAUUUGGAACUUGGAGAAUGUUUUCUCAGUGUGGUUCAGGUUAAAUUGUUGUCCUACAGUUCCUGCUCAGCCUCCUAAUGUUCUAUGUCUUCGCUGCGCCUUCUUCCAGCUUCUCUAUUGGUUUUCUCUUCAACCGAUGAAAGUGCGUGUUCCUCCCUUCCUCCAAAUCUUCUCCAGCCAUGGUUGUUUGCAUCUGGUCACAGUUGUUUCAUGUUUCACUUUUGUUGGUGGUUCACGCGUCGGCCUUAGUGCUCUAAGAAAACUAGCAUUUCUCAUCUUGGCAAUUGUAUUAUUGGGGCUUUGCUACAUCUAUAGGUUUGAAUCUCAUGUGGCUCCUGCGCCCAGCCACCAUCUCCUCCCUAGCUAAGCAAGAGGUUCGAAGGUCACCGCUACCUCUUCCUUGCCGCCCAGCAGGAGGGGCACUAGGUGUGCCUCAUGUUUAGUUAAUGCCCACUGAUUGUGAUGUUCAUUCUAUGGGGAAUUUUGUUUACUUUUUAUAUUUUGUGCAUUUUCUAUUUCAUGUAUUGGUCAGUGGGCCUAAAUCCCAUGUGAUUUCUUCAUUCUUCGGGCAAAUUACAUAUCAGGAGAGCCAUUUAUUAGAUGAUCUUCUUGAUGGGUUUUUACAUUUGGUUCCUGAUGUGAUGCUUCUCGGGGUUUGCUCACUUCCUUUCUAGCUAGAAAUACCAUAUUUUCCUCUUUGCGUGUACUGACUUGGUGUUUGGUUCGCUGCUUGUCUUAAUAUUCCGGAUUUAGCCGGGCAUCAUGUUUUGUUCAGCCUCAUGCUCCUAAGUGUAUCUCACAUGGUAUAGGAACCUGUCAUGCGGGGACCUUGCCAUUUAUGCUUCUUCUUGAUAAUAGAAGUAUUGAAUAUACCUGUUUCUUCUCCUCAAACAUUUUGGCUAAGUGGCGAUAUUCCAAAUAAAUGGAUGUAUCUUGAACAAAGGAGAUGUCUGAUGGUUUCUUAAUUUCGUUGACUAACUAGGGAGUUCAAGGAUGAUGACUGAAAGUUUUGUCAUUACUGGCUAACACUUGGCGACGAUGUGUCCAUCAGAAAUGAUCGGAUUAUCCUCUGUUGUAUUAUAUUUUCUAAUUUUUUGUAAAUAUGUAUGGAUGUACAUGCACACUCUUUCGAUGUCUGAAAAUGACUGUCAUCCCUCAGUGGGCAAA